GUAACUUACUAUGUAAUAUUAACUGGUUGUUACAGUCGAUACUCUCAACUCACAUAUGUGUAGGCGGAGGAUCUGAGUCCGCGUGUAAUGGUGACUCCGGUGGCCCAUUGGUCUGUGUGAAGAGCAACGAGUAUAUACUGGCCGGGGUGACGUCAUGGGGAUCGUCUAAUUGC
rnacentral:misc_RNA from 1 species